AUUGAACGCUGGCGGCAUGCCUUACACAUGCAAGUCGAACGGCAGCACGGGGCAACCUGGUGGCGAGUGGCGAACGGGUGAGUAAUGCAUCGGAACGUACCUUUCAGUGGGGGAUAACGUAGCGAAAGUUACGCUAAUACCGCAUAUUCUGUGAGCAGGAAAGCAGGGGCUCGCAAGACCUUGCGCUGAUUGAGCGGCCGAGGUCAGAUGAGCCAGUUGGUGCGGUAAAGUCUCACCAAGGCGACGAUCUGUAGCGGGGCUGAGAGAAUGAUCCGCCUCACUGGAACUGAGACACGGGCCAGACGCCUACGGGAGGCAGCAGUGGGUAAUUUUGGACAAUGGGAGCAACCCUGAUCCAGCCAUGCCGCGUGAGUGAAGAAGGCCUUCGGGUUGUAAAGCUCUGUCGGCCGGGAAGAAAUCGCACGGGCUAAUACCCGGUGUGGAUGACGGUACCGGAAUAAGAAGCACCGGCUAACUACGUGCCAGCCGCCGCCGUAAAAC
rnacentral:rRNA from 1 species